ACGGCAGGUCAGUAUGCCCCGAAUCUCCCGGGCCACACGCGAGCUGCAAUGGCAAGUACAAUGAGUUCCAACCUCGAAAGGGGAAGGCAAUCUCUAAAGCUUGCCGUAGUUGGAAUCGAGGGUUGAAACCCACCCUCGUGAACAUGGAAUCCCUAGUAAUCGCGUGUCACUAGCGCGCGGUGAAUACGUCCCUGCUCCUU
rnacentral:rRNA from 1 species